GUGUUCAUAUUAUACAGCGGUGAAUUUAGAUUCUGAGGAACCAACACACCUACGGAGGUCUGUAGAGAAGGGCUCCUACAGUCCGGCCCCUCCUGCCCGGAGAAUGCAUGUCCCUAAAAGAAAUAUAAUUGAAUGACCUGCACGAUUAUGAGGAAGACUGCCGACUUGACAAGUUGUUCACCUGAGAGUCACUGACAACCUCCACAAGGAAGCUGACUGUUGGAUGAUUUGAGACAAACAGAACAGAGACUACAUUUCCCAGAGUACCCAUGCGCCCGCAGCAGUCGCAGCAGCAAACAGCAAAAGAUUCCUCCGCCUCCUCCUACAAGCAGGGCUGCGGACGUAUCGACGGGCCUUCAGCGACAUACACACCCCCUUAUUAAUAACGCAACUUUUAAUAUUCCUGCCUCCCCUCGAACGCCAAAUAUCCCGUUAUCUGAUACGCAUUAAAAAAAUAUGAGCAAAAGCCAUAGGAAAGAGCCCUUCGUCACCACAGAGCCCGACCCGACAGCACCUCGGUGCUCCGAGCAGA